rnacentral:tRNA from 1 species
UAUGUUUUAGUAUAAUAUGUACAAAAAUUUUUGAAGUUUUUAGUAAUAAUUUAAUUUAUUAAGCAUAU